UAAAUAUGAUGACUAAAAUUGGUCCGUGUUACUGAACGGGAUUAAGACCCCGGAUACGAAGAUAAACCCAAUUUUUAUUGCUGAUUUU
rnacentral:snoRNA from 1 species